rnacentral:rRNA from 1 species
UACGGAGGAUGCAAGCGUUAUCCGGAUUCAUUGGGUUUAAAGGGUGCGUAGGCGGCUCUUUAAGUCAGUGGUGAAAUCCUGCCGCUUAACGGUAGAAUUGCCAUUGAUACUGAAGAGCUUGAGUACAGUUGAGGUAGGCGGAAUGUGUAGUGUAGCGGUGAAAUGCUUAGAUAUUACACAGAACACCGAUUGCGAAGGCAGCUUACUAAACUGUUACUGACGCUGAUGCACGAAAGCGUGGGGAGCGAACAGG